rnacentral:misc_RNA from 1 species
AUCACAAUGGAGGAUCUUGGCCAGGUUUAUCCAUUUUUCUCUCUAUUUAAAUUAAAUGUCUUUUGUUUUCCUAUUAACAGAGUUUAAUGCGAUAUUCAUACUGCAAGGAUAGCAUCAAUGUCGUGUUUUACCAGGGCUCAUAGAACAUUGUUUGGUGUUACUUUGUUGAACAGAAACUAUUGAUGAGUUAUACCCUAAUCAUUUUGGAGUCAAAAAAUUCUGAGCGUGUAAAGUGAUUACUUAAACUUGAUUCUUUUAGCAAAUGACUAUAGUGUAAAAGGAUUAAAGCUUAAUUACAGCUUGUAGAAGUUUAAUUUAGCCAAUUUUCAUCUUUUUAUCUAAUUUAGCUAGAAGUUUCAAUUUAAUCUCAAUUUAGCCCAAAACUUAAAAUUUAUGGGCUGAAUUUCUUGAUUUUUUAAUUUCAAGAGAUUCAAUUUCUUGAUUCUGGGAUUAAAUUUCUUUGAUUCUUGAUUUAAACCCAAAAAAUAAGCAGCUCAAUCAAGAAAUUGAAUUUCUUGAUUUUUGAUUUAAAUAAAAAAAAUUAAAAAGUUUAAUUUUUUUAAUUUCAAAUUAAAUUUUUUUAUUUCCUAAUUUAAGUUGAUAAAAUUAGGCAAUUUAAUA